rfam:Sorghum bicolor cultivar BTx623 chromosome 8, whole genome shotgun sequence.
UAGCUCAGUUGAUAGAGCGCAAGGCUCUUAACCUUGUGGUUGUGGGUUCUAGCCCCAU